rnacentral:lncRNA from 13 species
AUGAAAAACACGUGGAAGCAAAAUUAUGAACUGCACAUGUCGAGCCCUGUUUUGCAAACACAACAGCCACUGAAUUCGCUGAGAUACCGCCAAUGUCAGCAUGAGCAUGCUGUUAGGGAAAUGUUGGCCCGAGUUCAGAAUGAGAUCACUGUUUCUAUCUCCAGGCAAACUUCACUCCACUCUCAGAAAACAGCUCUCAAAGCCAAGUUGACCGAAUCAAAGGCCAAGCACCAGCCUUGGGUAGAGAUGAGUGCCUGGAGACCCAGCUCCUUCAAGGGCACCGUGAGACCGAGGACCAGAGCCAGGCUAAACGCAGCUGCUGAAGGUCCAGGCAUGGCUGGAGAAUGAAGCUCGGACCAACCACCACCUGCUCAUGAAUGGCAGGUAGAGAUUUCCACCCAAGUAACAGAAACUUUCCCAAGUACCAAGGAAUAAUCAUGAAAACCAUCACUGAUAAUACUCUCUCAACACAUUUUCUUAUCACUUCCCUGUUGUGGAUUUGUCCUUCUUAAUUGACUACUCGUUUUUUGAGCUAAUUUGAGAGCUUUGGGUUUUAUUCCCCUAGUUUUGACAUUGACUUUCAUCAGUGUCACAGGUGUGAGAUCUUUCUCGUUUCUGCCAUUCUUUUCCUCCCCUUCCUCUCUCAUCACAUUUUGCAUUUUUCCUCCCACUCUUCAUAGAGAGAUUUUGAGUAGCUGAUUGUGUGUGUGUGUGCACGCGCACGCGCGCGUCUGUGUGUGUGUGUUGUGUACUGGGGUCAUGAUGUAAAAUGAUGCCUUUGUUCUUGUGGCUUGCAGUGGGAAAAGUUAUGACCUUUGCAAUAGAGGUGUCUUUAUUUUUCCUUUCAGUUUUCACUUGAACUUAAUUGUAUGAAAUGAAUUGUGGGCCAGGCAUGGUGGGUCAUGCCUAUAAUCCCAGCACACUAGGAGGCCGAGGCAGGUGGAUCGCCUGAGGUCAGGAGCUCAAGACCAGCCUGGCCAACAUGGUGAAACCCUGUCUCUACUAAAAAUACAAAAAUUAGCUGGGGGUGGUAACAUGUGCUUAUAAUCCCAGCUACUUGGGAGGCUGAGACAGGAGAAUCACUUGAACCCUGGAGAUAGAGGUUGCAGUGAGCAGAGAUCACACCACUGCACUCCAGCCUGGGUGACAGAGCAAGACUCCAUCCCCCUGCCAAAAAAGAAAUGGAUUGCAAAUCUGUUUGCUAUCGUUCUUGAUGUCACUUCCUUCUCUAUGACUGAGAAUUCAUUGCCAUUCCUAGAAGGAUUCAAAUCCUUCAUUUUUUGAGCAAAUUUCACUAUAUACCACUUUCUUGCCUCUAUCAUUGCAAUGCCUCUCUACAUAGGACUAGCUGUAUUAUAACAAGGAUAACGAAGGCAACUACCCUUUAUGGAGCACUUACUAUGUAAACAUAAUUCCCACAGCAAUUCUGUAGAUGGCGCAUGAUCCCCAUUGCACAGAUAAGGAAACUGAAGGUCAGUAACGUUAACUGGUUCACCCAUGAUCACAAAGCUCAUCUGGGGCAGAAUGAGCCAAGAUCAAAUCCUUUGAGGUUCCAGAAUUUCAAGUGACAGUCUCAUUCCCAUUUCUCAUCCUCUCAACACUUUGUGAAGUGAGUACUCCUAUUAUCCCCAGUUUACAGACAAGAACACUAAAAUUUUCCUGAGUUAUACAGUAACUUGGGAAGAGUUAGGAUUCAAACCAAGGCAGUCUGGUUUCAGUUUUUGUGCUUUUAAUCAUAUGCUCUACUGACUUUAUUCCUUUACUCUUUUUUAGUGUUUCAUUGAAAAAUAAUAUACAUACCAAAAUCACAUAUAUGAUGAGUAAAACAGCUGGAUGAAUUUUCACAAACUGAACAUACUAGUGUAAAUCAGCUUCCAGCUCAAGAAAUAGAACACUGUCAGAAACCUCAAAGCCUCUCUCAUUUUCCCAUCCAGACAUUAACACCUCCUGAGGGCAACUGCUCUCCUAACCUCUAGCACCAUACAUACAGUUUUGAUUAUUUUCAACCAUACACAAAUUGAAUCAUGCAAUAUGUUCUUUUUUUUUUUCUUAAGCUGGCGUCUUGCUCUGUCACCUAAAUUGGAAUGCAGUGGUUCAAUCCCCACUCACUGUAACCUCCACCUCCAGGGUUAAAGCAAUUCUCCUGUCUUAGCCUCCCAAGUAGCUGGGAUUACAGGCAUGUGCUACCACGCCCAGCUAAUUUUUGUAUUUUUAGUAGAGAUGGGGUUUCACCAUAUUGGUCAGGCUGGUCUCAAACUCCUGAUCUCAGGUGAUCCACCUGCCUCAGCCUCCCAAAGUGCUGGGAUUACAGGCAUGAGCCACCCCGCCCAUCCCUGAAUCAUGCAGUAUGUUCUUUUUUGUGUCUGGCUUCUUUCCCUCAAUAUGUUCUGUGCGUGAUUCAUCCGUGCUACUGAUUGGUUGUAGAUCAUGUUGUGUCUUUAAUAAACACCUACAUUAGGUGUUAGAGAUACA